GCUAUAGCAGAUUUUCAUUAUCCUUUUGGGUUCUUAAACUUUGAUCAAAGUUCCCCUUUCACCUUCUCUUUGAUAAACUAAACAGACUGACCUCUGCAGAUCUUUCUCUGUGGUCCUACUUUCUAAUCCCUCAAUAUGUUUUCAUAGCCUUUCCCUUAACACUCUCCAGCUUUGAAUUAUAGUGCACUGCUCAGAUAAAUCUUUUAAAUGGUUGUUUUUUAAGACUUGAAGACUGGCCAGACCCUUUGCUGCUUUCAGUGAUGGAAGGUGAAGAAUUGGCCACUCUGUUUUUCUGUUCUGGCCCUGUCACUCAGUUGCCAAAGGACUUUCUCUCACCAAAACUCAUGUUGUGUUCUUACUUUUAAUGGGAAAAAACUCUUCUUUGUAACCGAGAUAAAUGUCAUUUUACUUGCAGAUAAUUUAAGUUUGGAUAUUUAGAGUAUUUGUUUUAAACCUAAAUGACAUUCUGAGGUUCUGAUUGAAUACCUUUGUUUCUUUCUCAGAUGAAAUUAGUUACAUAGCUUCACCUGACUUUCUGCAUGAGUUGCACACAUGUGAACUGCUUUAAAUGCAGAUUGGCUGCUAAAGAGCCUUUUUCCAGCCUGAGCUAGAUGCCUCCAAAGCACGUCCCAUCUGGUGGGAGACUGGUGCAGCGCUCAGAUCUGCUCUAAGGAGGACUAUCACUAUCUCCUUCUUCCCAAACAUCAAGUGUACAUAAAAAGUCAUGAAAGUAAUGAGGAAUCAUUAAAAAAAUAUAUAUCCUGUCACCGUUUUUCCAAUAGACAGCUCAGGCUCUGAGAAGCAAUGAUUUUCUGGAGAAGAAAAAGAAAAUGCCAAGAAGAGGAGCUCUGAGCACUUAAAUGCUACAACAACAUGCUUUGGAAGUGGGAGGGAGCAGCCAGAGCCAUGCAUGUGCCAUUUGUUCUUCCUGCACGUGCCGAGCUGGAGGCUCGUGGUUGCUGUGCCUUUUCUCGGUUCCUGAGGGUUUUGUGCCUGCUGCCAGCUGUGCCCAGGGCUCCUGCUGCGUGCUGGAGCGAGUCCUUCGUCAGGCAUCGAGGGAAAGGAUUUGGGAAGUUUCCAUAUCUGGGGCUGGGCCCCGAUGCCUGGUGUGCUGGAUUCACCAUACACCAGCAGCACAACGAUCAGCCACUUCAUUCCAAGCACCUGCCUGCCUGCAAAACGUCCUUGCUCUGCGCUGAUGGCAGCCUUUGUGAUAGUUCCUGGGAAGCUGAUGCUCGCACGUGUGCCAGGGACUGGCUGGUGAGUGCAGACAGGAUUCCCUUCUGGACCAAGCCACCGACGAGAUGGGUUUUUUGCAGCUCCAGCUGCACAGCCCCAGAGACAAGAGCAGUGCUUUGUGGAGGAGUCACCGAGGCGCAGUGCACCAACCCCAGCGGGCGGAGGACGCGUUGUGCUCGGCACCGCUUGCUGCCAGGGAGCCCGGCUACAGGAGGAGCCCUCGCUGCAGCAGCUGCAGGAAAUUAAAUCCACAUAGAGACUGCUUCAUCUUUGGACUUUCCUCCCGAGGAGCCAGGCACAGUCUUCAGGUGGCCAGGCCUCUGGAGCAGAGCAGGUGCCCUCCUUACUAUACAUCAGACGUGUCAGAAAGCCACAGCAUUGCAUCUGCACCUCUAAAACACGUUACAGGGGCAAGGACAAAGUGGCAGUGUUGUUCCCUGUGUUGUACCAAGCACAGCCUGGUAUGUCUGUGCUGUUACUGGGUGUGCCAGCAUCAUCCCUGGGCACACCUGGUUGUGUGGUCAGGGAUUGUCACCACAUUACCUGGCUUGGCCUGCUCCAGAGCAAGGGCCAAAGGGGUUUACAAAUUCUUUAGUUUCUGUCCUCACAGCACUGUUGGCAUUUGACCACCUUAGCUGCUGACACUAUAACUUGGGACGAUGGCCUUCCCCAGCUACCCUACAAUUCCCCUGCUUCAUUAUUUUCCGUGGUUAUUGUACAGUGGCACAUUCCUUCCCCCUGUAAGCACUGCACGUGAUAUUUUGGGUCUAAAGCUUUGCAAGUAGCAAGCUCCUGAUGUUGCAGCCAUAUUACUGACCAAAGUCCUGCUUAUGGGAUCUGGGCUUUCAGCUGCUCUCAGCUCCUUGUUGGAGCUGGGGUGCUGCCGCUGGCCGUGCUGUGAGGGCUCAGUGUGCAGGGGAGCAGUGGUGCUGCCCACAGAGCAGCUCCGAUGCCUUCAGCUGAGGUAGGUUGGCCUCACAAUUUUUAGUCUUUGCUUGACUCUGAGUUCCAGCAAACAGAGCUGCAGGCCGGCUCAGCAGUGGCUGAAGGCAGGGUCCUGACCAGGGACCAAGCGCUGCUCUUGCUGGCAGCAAGGAGUCAUGAUCCCGAUCGAUAGCUGUGAAGGGAGCACUGGUGACAGGCAGAGCAGCCGUUCAGGCCGUCAGAUAUCUGAGUCAAAGAAUCGCUUAGGCUGGAAAAGACCCCUAAGAUCAUCAAGUCCAACUGAAUCCAUCAGUGCCUUUCCCUGGCAGUGUCACAGAUCCUGUGAAAUGGAAGGGACGUUAGCAAAGCUUUGCUGGCUUUGGGGAAGGCCCUUGGUGGAAGAAACCAUCUCUUGUAAUCUUCCCUGUUGAUAAACUCAGCCUGAGAUUGUCUCAGAAGAGCACUGCAAAAAAUGCCAUUAAAUGUGGAACUUAAAAGUUGUUUUGAUAACUCUAAAACAUUUCUUAAUAUGUAUUAGCCCCUGAGUUUGCAACAGAAGUUGGCUUUGAAAUAACCAAAUCUAUAUAUUUAAAAACAACAAAAAAAAAGGAAAAAAUGUGUUUACAAUUUAAUAUGUUAAUGGUCCAAUUCUGUAAAUUUUGUGUUACAGCCUUUUCAUAAGAGCACUCUUCAAUGAUACAUUGCAUCUGUGGAAACAAUAUUGUUUUUAACUUCAGUCAUAUAUGCAACAUGUCAGAAAGGGAGCGUCUAUACUCAUAACAUCUUCCACAGUUAUUGAAUUUCUCAGGUUACAGAAGCCAUAACUAAAAAAACGUAUUUCUCAAAUAUUGUUUGAUUCCUAAAGUUCUUAACUGCUCAGUUAUUGCGUGCUAAUGUUCAUGACACUGGUGUAAUUGAAGCAGUAAGAGGUUUCUCUUCAUUUAGUGCCAAAACAAAUAUGAAACAUUAAACCCCUGUGGGUGCAGAUUAUUGCAAGCACAGGCUGAUGGGUUAGAAAUUGUUGAAAGAUGAGAUUUCUGAUGACUAGUAUUGCUUCAGUUGUCAAAAAAUCUUGACUAUGAAAUGAACCCUUUUUGGUAAUUGACGAGGUACUUUUUAGAUAGCGUACAAUGGUUCUUCCUCUCUCUCAUCUAAUUUUAUUGAUUAAAGUACACGGUGCUUCUGGGGUUUCAACUUUCUAAUGUCUAAAACCCUUGAAAACCUAAUUAGUGACAUUCUUUGAGCGAUUUCCAGAUUUUGAGAAUUUGGAUGCAUUAAAAAAAAAAAAUUUUUUUACUGAUAUUUAAAAUGUAUCAUCCUCUAAAAGAAACAUUUUGGAAAAAUCUGUACAAGCUCGUCUCUCUCAGCUUGCAGAGGUUCUGAGGAAGUUUGUUAUUAUGGAGAUAUCUAGAAAAGGAAUAUGUUGCAAAAGACGGAUCUAGCAGAACUACUUGAUUUAUGCGUGUUUCUAAUACAUCCUUGCCAUGUGCUUUCUUGUAGCUUUUUGGUUUGUCUGCAAGACUGUAAAAUGUAAUUCCUCCUGUAAGAAAUUUAUGAAAGAGCUUCCUAGGUUAUUUUAUUAAAAUCAUUGAGACUAAAAUGUUGAUGUGUAAUCUUUGGAUAGAUUUGAAAAUAAAUUCUCAGUAAACCUUUAAAAAGUAA